rnacentral:rRNA from 1 species
UACGUAGGCAGCAAGCGUUUGUUCGGAAUUACUGGGCGUAAAGCGAGUGUAGGCGGUCGGCCAAGUCUGUUGUGAAAUCUCCCGGCUCAACUGGGAGGGUGCGACGGAAACUGGUCGGCUAGAGUGCGGGAGAGGAGAGUGGAAUUCCUGGUGUAGCGGUGAAAUGCGUAGAUAUCAGGAGGAACACCGGUGGUGCAGACGGCUCUCUGGACCGCAACUGACGCUGAGACUCGAAAGCGUGGGGAGCAAACAGG